rnacentral:piRNA from 1 species
UGGGAUCUUGUGUUAGAAGACAGCAUGGUU